GAACCCUACACAAGUGACUAGCUAUAGCAAUCACAAUUGUCUCAAUGUCUUUGUUGAAAUCCAUUCUUGUAGCCAUGCUCAUUGCUAUUUUCGUUCUUGGUGUGAGCAGCAGCCAACACUGUCUAGGACCUUGCGAUGAAUUUCCUCACUGUGCAUGGUUCUGCGAGAAAUUGGGUUAUGAUAUUGGGAUGUGCGUUCCACCUGAUAAUUACUUCUGUUGUUGUGCCAAGAAGGAUUGAAGCGGUUAAUCUUAAAUAAGUGAUUUUCUAGAUUUAAAUAAAUGAUUUUAGGAGUUUGGUUAUAAUGUCUAUACAUGUUUUUUCUUGAUGGUAGUAUUUGAAUUUGCGAUUGUGAUGCUACAAUUGUAUUUCUUGGCUCAAUUUCAAUAUGUAUUUAUAGACUUCAUUGCUCAAUAAUAAUAUAAUAAUUUUACAAGUUA